UACGAAGGGGGCUAGCGUUGCUCGGAUUGACUGGGCGUAAAGGGCGCGUAGGCGGUUCGUACAGUCAGACGUGAAAUUCCUGGGCUCAACCUGGGGGCUGCGUUUGAUACGUGCGGACUUGAGUGCGGAAGAGGGUCGUGGAAUUCCCAGUGUAGAGGUGAAAUUCGUAGAUAUUGGGAGGAACACCGGUGGCGAAGGCGGCUAUCCGGACCGGUACUGACGCUGAUACGCGAAAGCCAGGGGAGCAAACGGG
rnacentral:rRNA from 1 species